rnacentral:ncRNA from 1 species
CAAAGGCUUAGUCCUGACUUUACUAUCAACUUUAGCCAGACUUACACAUGCAAGUAUCCGCGCCCCUGUGAGAAUGCCCUAACAGUUCCCUGCCUGGGAACAAGGAGCUGGUAUCAGGCACACCCUAUUUUAAGCCCACGACGCCUUGCUUAGCCACACCCCCACGGGAAUUCAGCAGUGAUAAAUAUUAAGCCAUGAGUGAAAACUUGACUUAGUUAAGGCUAAGAGGGCCGGUAAAACUCGUGCCAGCCACCGCGGUUAUACGAGAGGCCCAAGCUGAUAGACUGCGGCGUAAAGAGUGGUUAGGAUCAAACACACACUAAAGUCGAAUGCAUUCAAAGCUGUUAUACGCUAAUGAAGCUAGCCGAAGCCCAACUACGAAAGUGACUUUAAACCUACUGACUCCACGAAAGCUAGGAAACAAACUGGGAUUAGAUACCCCACUAUGCCUAGCCCUAAACAUUGAUAGCACCCCACGCUCGCUAUCCGCCCGGGUACUACGAGCAUCAGCUUAAAACCCAAAGGACUUGGCGGUGCUUUAGACCCCCCUAGAGGAGCCUGUUCUAGAACCGAUAACCCCCGUUCAACCUCACCUUUCCUUGUUUUUACCGCCUAUAUACCGCCGUCGUAAGCUUACCCUGUGACGGAAAAAUAGUAAGCAAAAUCGGCACAGCCCCAAACGUCAGGUCGAGGUGUAGCGCAUGGGAAGGGAAGAAAUGGGCUACAUUCUUUAUUAUAAAGAACACGAAUGAUGUGUUGAAACACACAUCUGAAGGAGGAUUUAGCAGUAAGCAGGAAAUAGAGCGUCCCGCUGAAAUUGGCUCUGAAGCGCGCACACACCGCCCGUCACUCUCCCCUAAACCUACCACCAAAGACAACUAACGAUCAACAAUGGCACAAGGGGAGGCAAGUCGUAACAUGGUAAGUGUACCGGAAGGUGUACUUGGAAUAACU